CAGCUAAAAUUGCACCUGGCACAUGGAUGCUACUAAGAAACAAGGAUGUCCCCCAACAGAUUGGCUAUGUGGACUGUGGAGUCUUCAUGUUGAUGUAUGCUCUACACGUUGUGUUGGGAGCCCCCUUUGACUUUACAUCUGUAAGUAAUUAGGAGCACAAGCAAUUGGAUUUCAUGCUGUUUUGAUAUUUAUAAGAUU